rnacentral:rRNA from 1 species
GACGAACGCUGGCGGCGUGCUUAACACAUGCAAGUCGAACGGUGAAGCGCUUGCCUUUUUGGUGGGUGUGGAUGAGUGGCGAACGGGUGAGUAACACGUGAGUAACCUGCCCUCUUCUUCUGGAUAACCUCAUGAAAGUGGGGCUAAUACGGGGUAUUCCGGGUCUGUCGCAUGGCGGGUUUGGGAAAGAUUGCGCCUUUGGGUGUUUUCGGUGGGGGAUGGGCUCGCGGCCUAUCAGCUUGUUGGUGGGGUGAUGGCCUACCAAGGCGGUGACGGGUAGCCGGCCUGAGAGGGUGGACGGCCACACUGGGACUGAGACACGGCCCAGACUCCUGCGGGGGGCAGCAGUGGGGAAUAUUGCACAAUGGGCGCAAGCCUGAUGCAGCGACGCCGCGUGAGGGAUGGAGGCCUUCGGGUUGUGAACCUCUUUCGCCAGUGAAGCAGGCCUGCUCCUGUGUGGGUGGGUUGACGGUAGCUGGAUAAGAAGCGCCGGCUAACUACGUG